rnacentral:rRNA from 1 species
GACGAACGCUGGCGGCGCGCCUAACACAUGCGAGUCGAACGAGCGAGCGAGAGCUUGCUUUCUCAAGCGAGUGGCGAACGGGUGAGUAACGCGUGAGGAACCUGCCUCAAAGAGGGGGACAACAGUUGGAAACGACUGCUAAUACCGCAUAAGCCCACAGGUCGGCAUCGACCAGAGGGAAAAGGAGCAAUCCGCUUUGAGAUGGCCUCGCGUCCGAUUAGCUAGUUGGUGAGGUAACGGCCCACCAAGGCAACGAUCGGUAGCCGGACUGAGAGGUGGAACGGCCCCUUUGGGACUGGAGCAGGACCCAACCUCCGACGGGGGGCGGCAGUGGGAAAUAUUGACCAUGGGGGAAACCCUGAUGCAGCGGCGCCGCGUGGAGGAAGAAGGUCUUCGGAUUGUAAACUCCUGUUGUUGAGGAAGAUAAUGACGGUACUCAACAAGGAAGUGACGGCUAACUACGUG